rnacentral:tRNA from 1 species
CAGGGAAUAGUUUAAAUAGAACUUCAGCUUUGGGUG